rnacentral:rRNA from 1 species
UACGUAGGGGGCUAGCGUUGUCCGGAUUUAUUGGGCGUAAAGAGCGUGUAGGCGGCCAGGUAGGUCUGGUGUGAAAACUCGAGGCUUAACCUCGAGAUGUCAUCGGAAACCAUCUGGCUAGAGUCCGGAAGAGGAGAGUGGAAUUCCUGGUGUAGCGGUGAAAUGCGCAGAUAUCAGGAAGAACAUCGGUGGCGAAGGCGCUCUGCUGGACCAUAACUGACACUCAGGGACGAAAGCUAGGGGAGCGAAUGGG